UCCCCUCUUCAUUGGGAACUUGGCCAUGUGUUUACUGGCCAUGAACACAGGAGCCAAAAUGUUUGUGCAAGGGGGAGAGGAUUCUGGUGCAGCUCUGCCACUUGGGGAGUGAAGCCUCUAUGACAUAUCUUGUGGGGAUAACAAUCCCUACAUACAUUGUAGGUGCACACAAAACUGCUACCAGCCAGCUACCAUGCUGCAUUAGAGAGGGAGACAUCUGUACCUCUGCCAUAAGGGAAGCACUGCAAGGGGUAAAAGAGGCCAUAACAGUGGGUCACUCAAGGUACAGGAAGCCUCUCUCGUUAAAAGUUGGCAGCAAGUUCAGGUUCAUCACUUCUUGGGCACCUGACGAUUCAGGAUAUUUCAAUAGUACCAGAGGCAGCAUUUUUGAACACAUGUUUGUUUUCAGUGAGUCAUCACAACAAAUUCCCAUAGGAUAUUUUGGGCCAUUUGGUACACACUUAAAAGGUUCUUAUCUUCACUGUGGUAUAUUUUAUCUUUCAGUUUAGCAAUCUUUCUGUUCACACUGGAGAUUAUUUAUGAGAAGGGUCCCUACAAGUCUUUGGAUUGCUGAUUUACUGCUGAGCAAGGAGGCAGCUGCCACUAUACUGGUAUGAGGGGGAAAUUUUGGGGUAAAGGUUGGGUCUGAUCAUGUCAAUACACCAAUCAUGUACUGAUCUAUAUGCCAGGCCCAUAGAUUUGGGAUUUGGGGAGGAAAGCUCUGCUUGAGGCUAAAAC
rnacentral:lncRNA from 1 species